GUCCCAUGUGCUUUGAUAUCAUUGAGGAGGCAGACAUGACAAAAUGUGACCACAGAUUUGCUACAAUUGUAUUCAUCAGAGUUUGGAGGACAAUAAUAGAUGUCCCAAAUGUAAUUAUGUUGUGGACAAUAUUGACCAUCUCUAUCCUAAUUUCUUGGUGAAUGAACUCAUUCUCAAACAAAAGCAAAGAUUUGAGGAAAAGAGGUUCAAAUUGGACAACGCAGUGAGUAGCACCAAUGGGCAUAGGUGGCAAAUAUUUCAAUAUCUACUAGGAACUGAUCAAGAUAACCUUGAUUUGGCCAAUGUCAACCUCAUGUUGGAAUUAUUAGUCCAGAAG
rnacentral:lncRNA from 1 species